rnacentral:sRNA from 1 species
UUAUAUUCGCUUAUAAUUCCGUUUUGUUCAACCGUUACCCAUUAUUGGUAAUUUAAGUUAGGUUGAAAAAGAUAAUUUACAGGAGUUUGUAUUAAUCCCGGUAUUAAAAAAGGUUUCAACCACGGAAUUUUUAUAUAGGAAACCCUUUUUUUGGUAUUAACCCCUUUUAUAUUUGGUUAUAUAAAAGGGUUAUUUAACGGUUUACCGGGUUUACGGGACCUAAUUUUACGUGGAUUUUCAGGGUAAAUUGCAUUAAAUUUUUGCAUUAUGGGUAAAUUUACGGUUAUAUUCUCAUUUUGUUUAGGAUAUAAUAUUUCUGUUACCGUUUUUCUUCCCGGUUCCGAAUCGGUAAAAUUUUAUAAUUGUUUUGGUUUUUAGGGAUUAUAUUAUUUGAUUUUAUUUCCAACGGGGUUGCGUAAUCUUUUAUAACCCCCUGUACAAUCAAAUUAAAAACGGUAUUAUAUUUACCAAUUAUAUAAAGGUAAUUCGCAACCGUAAAUGUAAAAUUUCAAAUAGAAAUAUCGCACCUUUUUACCUUUAAAUAAAACAAAUAUUUGGCGGUAUUUGGGCGUUCCCACGCCGUAUAAUUUUAUCGUAUAAAAUACUUUUUAAUAAUACGCCCUUUAUACUAUAAUAUAUAAAACUAUUAACAAUAUUUAUUCCAAACGAAAGGAUAUAUAGCAUGUUAUUUAAUAUAAUUCUUUUAAAUUUAUUAAUUUUGGAGUUACAACGGAUUUAUAUUUUAAUAAUUCCAAUACUAAUAAGUUUAAUAGAAUUAUUUCUAUUACCGAUUUUAAUUGUUAAACUGGAUAUAUAAUUGGUAAAGAAUUAUUUAUUUGCAAAAAUAUAAUACGUGCUAUUUAUAUUAUAUAAAACCGAGUAAGUUAAUUUUCGGGGUUUGAAAUCCCUAUUUACACCGUUUCCAAAUUUCGGUUUAAUUUUGAAAUUAAUUAUUAAUACCUGUGGUUUUAACGGUUUACUAAUAAAAUCGGGUUCCGAAUCCGAUUUCGAAUAUAAUUUUAGAACCCGCUAAUAAUGGAAUUAAUUGUUUAUUGCAAUACCCGGUACGGUAUAUUACCGCUCGAAUUAUUUAUUUAUUCCAAAACGUUAUACGUUGCGUAUAUAUUAAUAUUACCUGGAAUCAAAUCCGUGAAUAAUUCGAAAUUUAUCAAAAUAUAAAGGUUCCAACGUUCGAUUUGCCGGAAUUGGAGGAUUUGUUAUUUUUUGCAAUAACCAAAUUAAGAUUUGGGGUUAAUUUGCUUUUUUUCGUAAUUUGGACAUACCGUCCUGCCCGUUAUUUUCCUUUUUAACGUUUUCUUACCUAAUUUUCGCCUUUUAACCCUUUAAUUUAUAAUUUUGGCUAUUGUAAAACCUAAAAUCGAAUUUUCGGAUAUAAAAUCCGCCGCAAGAUUUUGCAAAUUCAAUUAAUCCGAAUUGUGGUUUAUAAUUUACAAAAUGCGUUGGGUAUUGCGUUGGCGUCUGGUCCAGGUAAAAAAUAUAUUUUCCAGGGCCCGUAAAUAUUAAUUUCGUAUAUUAAUAAAGUUAAUUUGCAAGUUGCAAUUUGUUAAUUUAAUUACCAAAAAAUUAAAACGGUUGUUGAAUUUUGGUAUCAACCUUUUGAAUAUCAAAAAAUUUAGGGCGUAAAAUUCCCAAUAUAGUAAAUUUCGGUUAAUUUUGGCUGUAACGGAAUAAUUAUUUUCCAGGGUUUUAUAAACCGUUACAAAAUUAAAAUACCAUAUAAUAGAUUUUGUAAAAACUUUAGUUAGGUUAUUUUAAUAAAUAAUAGUGGGACCGAUUAUUUAUAUUCCCGUAAAUUAUUAGUAAUUUUAAAAUUUGAGAUAAAUUCCGCAGUUUUUAUAAUUUUAAAUUAUAUUAUAAAUACCUGCUUCCACAAAUCGAAAUUGCUAACCCUAUUAAUUUGCAGUUUUUAGCGAAAUAAAAUACCUGUUUUAAUAAUUAUUAACCUAUUCCGUUAUUGAAAACUAAAUUAUUAAAUAAAUUAGGUGGUGUGGUAAUAAUAUUAACGUUACGCGUUUUUAAAUUGGCCUCUAAAUUACCGCUAUUGGGGUAUUAAUACCCCUAAUAUUAUUAAAGCUAAUAAAUCCACCAUUUUUUAACAUUAACAAGAAUAUUAAUUAUUAAAUUAUAUAUUAAAAUUAAUUUAUUUGCGUGGUUAACGUUUUUAAUUGCAAGUUUUGGACCUGUAAUUUAGCGGUUAAAAUUCUGUUUGGGUUAGAUUUAGGGUUUUUACUUGGUGGAACUGGGCCGGGAAAACCCAAUAUAGGGUUGUUUUCCAUUAUAAAAUAAUUUGACCUUUAAUUAAAAAACUAGUUUAAUCGCCUAAAAAUAAAUACCCUAAUUCAAAAUCUAUUAUACCGUUUAUUUCCUAACGGUUAUAAGUUUAUACGUAGUAAGAAUAUAAAAUCUAUUACUAUUCUUAAUAAUCGAAUGUAUUAAAAAUAUAGGGUUAGAAUUUUCAAAUUCCACAAUUUAUAAAUACCCUGGUAUAUAUACCAAUCCAAAUAUAUUAACGAUCGAAGUUCAAUUGGAUAAAUGGGUGUAAAAUAAUAUGCAGGGUAAUUUGCAGGGUAAUAUAAAACGUACCGAUUAAUAAAUUAGUGGGUUAUUAACGGACAAAUAUAAAGGUUUUGGCCCUAAUUCGUUCACGCAAACCCUAUUUAAUGCAUUAAAAACUUGAACUAAUUAUAAUAACGUAUAUAUUCUACAAAAACCACUCCAAAAAAUUUGGAAUUUGCAAUGCAAACAAGCGUUGCAAUAUUUGAAAAUUGGGUUUAAAUUAAAUAUUAAAAUAAGGACCUUUUAUUAUAAAUAUAAAGGGGAUAAGUGCUAACGUAACUUUUAUAAUUAAUAAUUUGCACAAAAAUAGCAAUAUUUUCGUUAAUGUACGUGCUGUAAAAGUGGAAUAAUAACCAAAAUAGAAUUCAAAAAUAGGGAUUUCUAAUAAUAUAUAAUAUAUUUUAUUGCAUAAAUUAAAACCUUUCCGGGCUUAUAAUUUGUUAAUAUUAUAAAUGUUAAUAGGGGGUAUAAAUGGUAAUUUUAAAUCCGGCGUAGUAAAUAACCAGUGCUAGAAAACGUUGAAUAUAUUUAUAUAUAAAACGUUGUACGCAAUUAGAUAAUAAUAUAUUAACGGGAGGAAUUAAUUUUGUUUUUUUAUAUAUUUUCCAAUAUUAAAAUGGGGUUCGGUACGUUAAAAUGGUUUCCGGUACCGCCAAUAAAUUUCCGAAAGAUUAAUUUGUAUGGAUUUAUUAAAAAAACACCCUUAUUUGCUAACAACCCAUUUUUAGGUUCGCACCCAAUAAUGAAUUUUUCAACCUGGUACAGGGUAAUUAAUUCGCAGGUGCAAAAUGGGUAUUAGAUACGGUAUAGGGUAACUAAUUCCAUUUAUUAACUUUUAAAUUGCAAUUUUUGCACUUAACAGAUUAACGGAAUUCCAACCACCACAUUUCGGAAUUAUAUAUAAUAGGUUAUAUAUAAAUAAAAAUGGGUUUAUUAUAUGCAAAAUAAUACACAUAAUUAACAAUUCGGAAAAUGUUUGUUUUGAAAAUUGCAUUUUCGUUUUGGAAAAUAUAUUCGAUACUAACGUAAAUCCAAUUUCUAAUAAUACGCGAUUGCUAUUUUAAAAAAUUUAAAUUCCUCCAAUUCGGGGUAGUUUUAAAAGAAAGCAGGGUAGUGGUAAAUAGGAAAUAUAAAACGCUUUCAAAAAUACAAUUAUUUAAUUUUAAAUAAUAAUUAACGAUAUUUUAUAGGUUAUAAUUUUUUAUACCCUUUUAAUAUUAAUAUUGUUAAACUUAUUGCUUUGUUAAUUAAUAGCUCUUUUUUUAUUACAAACUUUUAAUUCCGCAUUAUUAAAAACGGUUUAUAGGUUUUAUAUAAUAUUUCCUUUUUUUACAAAUUAUCUAACGUUUUAAUAUAUAUAGUUAAUUUUACUGGUUUUUAAAUUGGGCUUAUAUAUAUUUCUCCCCCUAAUAUUAUUUUUACUGGAGAAGGGGUUUCAUCGCCUAAAAUGCGGAUUAGGUCGAUUCCUUUUCAAUUUAUAUUUCUUUUCCCCAAAUAAUAAAGCAGGGUUGGAAACUUUAAAUUUAUUAGCAAUAUAUAAGAUAUUUGCCAAUUUCUUCUAACAUUUCGAAAUUAGAACUGUUAUAUAUAUUUAUAAGUAUUUUAGCAGGUUUGUUUACGUGCAAUUGUUUUAUUGGCUCUUAUAUUAUUUGGUCUCUUUAAAAAUAAAUAAUAAUAAUAAUAUCUUCCAAAUUUACAUAUAUUGUAUUGCCCAUCGAUAUUUUUUAAUUAGUUGGUAAAUUUAGUUUGCAUUCUGUUUUUAUUUGUAUUAAUCGCUAUUUUUUGGUAAGAUUGCGGAAUUUUCAUUUAACGGAUUAUAAAAACUUUCGCUCGUUAAAUAGGUUCCAUUCCAAUAAUAAUCACCGGCUAUAGCAACGAAGCUACGGAAAAGAAAUUAUACUGGUGUAUUGCAAAAAGAAAAUUUAUUCUAAUAAUUUUAUACGUUUUCGCAUUAAAUGUUAUUUAUAAUAGGGAUAAUUAUUUGUUUCGAUUCUUAUAAUUUGAAUUAAUAUAGGUUUCAAGUAUGUUUUGCACGUUUUAAUUUUGCUUUUCAAAGCCACUGUUUGUCAGGAUAUAAUAAACAGUAUUAAACCUACGUAGUAAACUUAUAAUUUUAUAUAAUUUUAACCAAAAUAACAACGUCUAAUUCUUUUUUAUUUAAAAUAAUAUAAUCGGACGACCCGCACCAAAUAAAUUAGGAAGUUAGGAAAUCUUUUUUUUUGGCACGUUUUGUAAUUUAAUAUUAAUAUAACCUUGACAUAAUUAUUUUUAAUAAUUAGUACUUAGUAACUCAAACGGAACUAUUUCCGUUGGCUAUUAAAAAGUCGGUUAUAUAAUCCACUUAAGUAUAUAUUUAAAAUAAUGUUGCAAUAUUAGCAAAAGCUGAAAUAGCCCCUAUUUAUACUCUCCUUAUAUGUUAAAUCGCUUUAAUAGGCUGCAAUAACGUGUGGAACGGCGUAUUAAUUAGUAAAUUAACAAUUAAUAAAAUUUUGUAUAAUUGCAGUUUUUUUUGGUUCUCGUAAAGUUUUAAUAUUAAUUUUAUAUAUAUUUUAUUAACUGGUUUUUAAAUUAGCUCCGUUAGUUAUUUAAAAUUUCUUCCAUUCUUAUUUAUUUAUUUGCAAUAUAUAAUAAAUAUAAUAUUUCUUAAUUUAAUUUCCGAAUUUAUGUUUCUGUUAUUAUCGAUGCGGUAUUUGGUUAUUUAAAUGCGGCAUUAUAAUUUCGGGUUUAAAUUUUGUUUUAUAUAAUUAACCAUUGCGUAUAUUCUAAAUAAAUUAAAUAUAUAUUUAGAAAGUAAUGUUAUAAUUAUUAUAAUCCCGGAUUUGCUACGUAUUAAACAAUUUGUAUAUUUAUAACCCCUUUUUCAAACGUUAAUAUAUAUAAAUUAAAUAAUAUUAAUUGCAAUAUUAAUACUAAUGCUAAUUCCCCCGAUUUUCCUCUAUUAACAUAUUUUAUUCUUAAAGGUCGAAAACAUUUGUUUCUAUACGUAGUUUAAGCCCCAGUUGCGCUAAGAACCAAGCGUUACAUAUACUUUAUUAGCACUAUGGGUUUUCAACCAAUUAAAACGGUCGAGAAAUAGCGCGGAUUGUAAUUUAAAACCAUUUCGUCGAAUUUGGCCGUUCGACAGCGGAUUUGUACGAUAAUGGUACUACAUUUACACUGUGCGCGUACUUUAUAAAUAAAAGAACAAUACAAUUAAAAUACUAUAUAUAAUAUAUAAUUAAAUAUAAAAAUUUAAAUAACAAGUUAAAUGGAAAUUAUAAAAAUGCAAGAUAAAUAUUAUAGUAAAGCCAGUUUUUAUAUUUCUGUACUAUAUUUGCUUUACAAUUUUAGCACUUGUAAUAACCGUUUUACUAGACAUUUUAACUGUUGUUUAAACAUUUUAGUAUUCUUUUUAUUAAUAUUAUUUUAAUAAAU